rnacentral:rRNA from 1 species
GACGAACGCUGGCGGCGUGCUUAACACAUACAAGUCGAACGGAAAGGCCCUGCUUGCAGGGUACUCGAGUGGCGAACGGGUGAGUAACACGUGGGUGAUCUGCCCUGCACUUCGGGAUAAGCCUGGGAAACUGGGUCUAAUACCGGAUAGGAGCCAUUUUUAGUGUGAUGGUUGGAAAGUUUUUUCGGUGUAGGAUGAGCUCGCGGCCUAUCAGCUUGUUGGUGGGGUAAUGGCCUACCAAGGCGGCGACGGGUAGCCGGCCUGAGAGGGUGGACGGCCACAUUGGGACUGAGAUACGGCCCAGACUCCUACGGGAGGCAGCAGUGGGGAAUAUUGCACAAUGGGCGCAAGCCUGAUGCAGCGACGCCGCGUGGGGGAUGACGGCCUUCGGGUUGUAAACUCCUUUCGCUAGGGACGAAGCUUUUGUGACGGUACCUAGAUAAGAAGCACCGGCUAACUACGUG